rnacentral:rRNA from 1 species
GAUGAACGCUGGCGGCGUGCCUAAUACAUGCAAGUCGAGCGAACAGACGAGGAGCUUGCUCCUCUAACGUUAGCGGCGGACGGGUGAGUAACACGUGGAUAACCUACCUAUAAGACUGGGAUAACUUCGGGAAACCGGAGCUAAUACCGGAUAAUAUAUUGAACCGCAUGGUUCAAUAGUGAAAGACGGUUUUGCUGUCACUUAUAGAUGGAUCCGCGCCGCAUUAGCUAGUUGGUAAGGUAACAGCUUACCAAGGCAACGAUGCGUAGCCGACCUGAGAGGGUGAUCGGCCACACUGGAACUGAGACACGGUCCAGACUCCUACGGGAGGCAGCAGUAGGGAAUCUUCCGCAAAGGGCGAAAGCCUGACGGAGCAACGCCGCGUGAGUGAUGAAGGUCUUCGGAUCGUAAAACUCUGUUAUUAGGGUAGAACAAAUGUGUAAGUAACUAUGCACGUCUUGACGGUACCUAAUCAGAAAGCCACGGCUAACUACGUG